GACGAACGCUGGCGGCGUGCUUAACACAUGCAAGUCGAACGGAAAGGCCCUGCUUUUGUGGGGUGCUCGAGUGGCGAACGGGUGAGUAACACGUGAGUAACCUGCCCUUGACUUUGGGAUAACUUCAGGAAACUGGGGCUAAUACCGGAUAGGCGCUCCUGCUGCAUGGUGGGGGUUGGAAAGUUUCGGCGGUUGGGGAUGGACUCGCGGCUUAUCAGCUUGUUGGUGGGGUAGUGGCUUACCACGUCUUUGACGGGUAGCCGACCUGAGAGGGUGACCGGCCGCAUUAGGACUAAGAUACGGCGCAGACUCGUACAGGAGGCAGCAGAGGGGAAUGUUACACUAGGGGCGGAAGCAUGAUGCAGCAACGCCGCGUGCGGGAUGACGGCCUUCGGGUUGUAAACCGCUUUCGCCUGUGACGAAGCGUGAGUGACGGUAAUGGGUAAAGAAGCACCGGCUAACUACGUG
rnacentral:rRNA from 1 species